GCAUAACGCGAAGAACCUUACCCACCUUUGACAUGUACGGAAUCCUUUAGAGAUAGAGGAGUGCUCGAAAGAGAGCCGUAACACAGGUGCUGCAUGGCUGUCGUCAGCUCGUGUCGUGAGAUGUUGGGUUAAGUCCCGCAACGAGCGCAACCCUUGCCAUUAGUUGCUACGAAAGGGCACUCUAAUGGGACUGCCGGUGACAAACCGGAGGAAGGUGGGGAUGACGUCAAGUCCUCAUGGCCCUUAUAGGUGGGGCUACACACGUCAUACAAUGGCUGGUACAAAGGGUUGCCAACCCGCGAGGAGGAGCUAAUCCCAUAAAGCCAGUCGUAGUCCGGAUCGCAGUCUGCAACUCGACUGCGUGAAGUCGGAAUCGCUAGUAAUCGUGGAUCAGAAUGUCACGGUGAAUACGUUCCCGGGUCUUGUACACACCG
rnacentral:rRNA from 1 species